ACCCCCUUAGUAUAAAUAUUACAUUACCUUUUCGAGGUAAAAAAGAGAGUACUCUCAGGGAGUAUUAUUUAGGGAAUA
rnacentral:tRNA from 1 species